ensembl:lncRNA
UAUUGAAAAGAUGGUCAGCGAGAAUGGGCUAUCUAAUUAAGGAAUUAGACACCAGGGCAUAAUCCAACACACACAAUCAACCAGAACCCAAUACAAACCCGAUACACACACCCACAUUAUCAACCAGCAUUUGAGCUGUCCUCAAAGGUAGGCUGCUUAACGCAUUAGUGGAUGAACUGCAUUCCAAUGUCCACACAAAGACAAUGCAAUAUAAAACUACAAGGAAGAACACAACCAUCUGAAUCACUUCCACGUAGCUGGGCACAUUUGGUUGGUUUUAUUGGAAGUUCAUUUUUUUCCGUCCAGGUGUCACUUCAACAAACACACAAUCAACCAGCUCAGCUGUCAUCAAUCACAUGAUGGCUGUGUGCAGACUUUUUUUUGGUUUAAAGAAAUAUCGAUUGUGAGGGACGUUACCUAAUACUUUUGUGAAGAACACAACAUAUAACACGUUGAGGAGAAGAUAAAGAAAUUAACUAGAGAGAGGGUGAAACGCAGGGCUUGUUGAAGGUGACCCACAUACAUACAUAUACGAAGCGGCUGCUGCUGUGAGCGAAAGAUAUCGAACAGCUAAUUGCUAAAAUAAGCGUAUGACCUAGAAAAUUGGCCUUAGUCGGACAUAAGGAAGAGAGUGUAGUAGCCGUAGAAGAGGAUGACGAUGCUUGAGAAGAGGCCAGCCGCACUUGGGACCACGGAGCACAUCGAGAUGGAGAUCUUCGCCUCGGAAGAGUCUCGCGCCGUGGUCUCCGUACAUGAUACCGAGGAGGGCUACUUCGGCUACUAUAGGCACCUAGAGCAUCCUCUGGUGUCCGUUUCUGAAGAGGAGUACCUAGAGGCCCAGGUCCAGAGCCCAGCUGAACAGCAAUUCAAGCUGAAGAGAGUGCUUUCUGUCGGGACAGAGGACUUGGAUGACUGCCCCCUGAUUCCAGACUUAAAGGAGGACAUGGAGAUCGAAAUGGAGGAAUUCCCUCCCUUCAACACGCCCGAGAGUGAGCAAGUUUUAAAAACAUCAGCCCUCCCUUCCUUCAAAACACUACGGUUUCCCGCCGUGGCUUCUCUCAACCAAGUCACCAAAGUCAAAUGGAGCCAAGUAGACCAUCAGAGGACUGGACUGGUAGUUAAAGACGUCAUCUGUCUACCCAGAGGACACCUCCUGGCCCAUCCCGACCGCUAAUGUGUGGCCAGAAUGACUUUCUGGACGACUUUGACUGGAGAGACGUUACCGAUCCUGAGGCACAAGUCUGAAUGAAACAGCUUCAGAGUCCUACCAGUUUAGGGCUGUUAUCUGACAGCUCUUGUGACCGGUACAGAAGCUCUGAACUACCAGAGAACGACUCUACUGACCAUUCCUCCAUUUACGCCAGCCUGGUCAAACACUACAUCUACCACAGGGUAGCAAGUACGGCCGCUCAGUUCACAGACGGUUUGGACAGCUGCAGUGGUUUAUGGGAAACGGUGUGUACCAACUGGGAGGCAUUUGCUCCAGUUAUGACCGGCAUGGGACAUAAAACAAGGAGGACUAGUGCAGAUUGCAGCUUAAGAGGUGGAGAAGGAAUCCAAACAUCACCUAACAUCACAUCAAACAAUGGAGUGAUGCUUCACAAGUAUGGAAUAGUAAAAGGUAUAACCAGUUUUGUUUAUGCGUCACUGAAGUGGUAGCAUUUUAAGUACGUAGUAUAUCCAUGAGAAGUAGUGUGAUAAAAGCAUGGUCUACAGACUUAUAAGAAUGCUGUUCCUGAUGUUUAGGGGGUUGACAAUAUUUGUUUUAUAUAAAUGGUCAGACAAAAGUAGAUAACUCUGAAACAAUGAUAAUCCAAUGUCUACAUCUAAAUGCACCAGUUGCAGAUGUCUUCAGAAAAAUUGCAGUGUUCUAAAUCCUAGGGCACAUGGAAAUGUUGUGAUAAAUUUGAUGUUUUAUUUAACAUUUGAAUACACAUUUCAUAUAAUUACAAUUUCAAAUGUACGUAUUUACUAAUGAAAUGCAACCAGGACGGUGUGUCUUCAGUAGUAAUGCAUUAUCUGAAAAUAAAAUUAUAUUUAAAUAUUACAGGCCAUGAUUUUUUUUUUUUUCUUUUGGUGCUUGGUGUUUAUCAAAG